rnacentral:misc_RNA from 1 species
UCUCAGAACAUAGGAGUCACAUCAUCAACACAAUUAAAAUCCAAGCCAUGCUCAAUCAAUCUGUUAUAUUUCAUACAAACAAAAAAAAAUUUAACAACAAAUGAUAGUGAUGCUAUCCAUUUCACUGGCUAUUACAGUGACAUAACAUUAAAUUGGGUUGAUGAUCCUUCUUGCAACCCCUUAAAUAUUGUCAUCCAACAACUUUUUCAAACUUCAACUAUGUGAGAGGCUUUGUUUUCUUUAAACUGGUAAACAGUCCUCUCAGGCCAAUACCAAUUACAAAAGGUUAUAGAGAUUCCUCAUAUAUUUGGUAACUGUACAAAUUUUCUGGUUGUCAACAGCCAUAGUGAACCACGAUAUAAAAAAAAAG